rnacentral:piRNA from 1 species
UGAUGUUCUCGCAUUUAUGUU